rnacentral:rRNA from 1 species
UACGAAGGGGGCUAGCGUUGCUCGGAAUCACUGGGCGUAAAGCGCACGUAGGCGGACUCUUAAGUCAGGGGUGAAAUCCUGGAGCUCAACUCCAGAACUGCCCUUGAUACUGGGAGCCUUGAGUUCGGGAGAGGUGAGUGGAACUGCGAGUGUAGAGGUGAAAUUCGUAGAUAUUCGCAAGAACACCGGUGGCGAAGGCGGGUCUCUGGGCCGAUACUGACGCUGAGGAGCGAAAGCGUGGGGAGCGAACAGG